rnacentral:rRNA from 1 species
UACGUAGGGCGCAAGCGUUGUCCGGAAUUAUUGGGCGUAAAGAGCUCGUAGGCGGCUUGUCACGUCGGGUGUGAAAGCCCGGGGCUUAACCCCGGGUCUGCAUUUGAUACGGGCAGGCUAGAGUGUGGUAGGGGAGAUCGGAAUUCCUGGUGUAGCGGUGAAAUGCGCAGAUAUCAGGAGGAACACCGGUGGCGAAGGCGGGAUCCUGGGCCAGUACUGACGCUGAGGAGCGAAAGCGUGGGGAGCAAACAGG